rnacentral:lncRNA from 1 species
AACCAGAAAGGGAAAGGUAGAGACACUUGCAGUCUCUGUUCCUCCCAUUUUUCUUCAUGUGAGGUCUUCAUCUUCCAGUGUUUGAAGCUUUGUGGUCUGAGCUGGAAAGAGAUCUCAUCUGAUUAUGAAGUCCUGUGUGUGCCAUCAACAAAUAUGAACCUAUGCAAAAAAGUCAUCAAUUCAUUAGGGAUUCUCCUAUUUCCCAUGAGUUCACUUAGGAUCAAAAAAAUGCUGAAGGUCAGAAACAUCCUGGGACACUACUUCUGUCGAAUCUACAUCACUGGACUAUUUCUACCUCCUCACUAA